rnacentral:rRNA from 1 species
UACGUAGGGGGCAAGCGUUGUCCGGAUUUAUUGGGCGUAAAGAGCGUGUAGGCGGCUUUACAGGUCCGUUGUGAAAACUCGAGGCUCAACCUCGAGACGCCGGUGGAAACCGUAAAGCUAGAGUCCGGAAGAGGAGAGUGGAAUUCCUGGUGUAGCGGUGAAAUGCGCAGACAUCAGGAGGAACACCCGUGGCGAAAGCGGCUCUCUGGGACGGUACUGACGCUGAGACGCGAAAGCGUGGGGAGCAAACAGG